GACGAACGCUGGCGGCGUGCUUAACGCAUGCAAGUCGAACGGAAAGGCCCUGCUUUUGUGGGGUGCUCGAGUGGCGAACGGGUGAGUAACACGUGAGUAACCUGCCCUUGACUUUGUGAUAACUUCAGGAAACUGGGGCUAAUACCGGAUAGGAGCUCCUGCUGCAUGGUGGGGGUUGGAAAGUUUCGGCGGUUGGGGAUGGACUGGCGGCUUAUCAGCUUGUUGGUGGGGUAGUGGCUUACCAAGGGUUUGACGGGUAGCCGGCCUGAGAGGGUGACCGGGCACAUUGGGACUGAGAGACGGCCCAGAGUCCUACGGGAGGCAGCAGUGGGGAAUAUUGCACAAUGGGCGGAAGCCUGAUGCAGCAACGCCGCGUGCGGGAUGCCGGCCUUCGGGGUGUAAACCGCUUUAGCCUGUGACGAAGCGUGAGUGACGGUAAUGGGUAAAGAAGCACCGGCUAACUACGUG
rnacentral:rRNA from 1 species